rnacentral:rRNA from 1 species
UACAGAGGUCUCAAGCGUUGUUCGGGUUCAUUGGGCGUAAAGGGUGCGUAGGCGGCGCGGUAAGUCGGGUGUGAAAUCUCGGAGCUUAACUCCGAAACUGCAUUCGAUACUGCCGUGCUUGAGGACUGGAGAGGAGACUGGAAUUUACGGUGUAGCGGUGAAAUGCGUAGAUAUCGUAAGGAAGACCAGUGGCGAAGGCGGGUCUCUGGACAGUUCCUGACGCUGAGGCACGAAGGCCAGGGGAGCAAACGGG